UUGCCUGAUUCCGGGUUGAGGUAGUAGUUUGUACAGUUUGAGGGUCUAUGAUACCACCCGGUACAGGAGAUAACUGUACAGGCCACUGCCUUGCCUGGGGCAGAGCUUU
rnacentral:pre_miRNA from 1 species